rnacentral:lncRNA from 1 species
CGCAAACCAACGAUCUCCAAUUUCAUUCUUAAUUAAUUCACUUGUCUCCUCUGCACAAGCCCUAACCGAAUCUUUUUGAAUUUGUGGACAACUCAUUUGAUUAUUCCCUAGAGCAUUCUCACCAGUCAUAAGUGCAGCCUUAGGAUCCUUCUUUCUAUACCAAUCAAGCAUCUCCAAAAAAUUCCCUUUAUUUUUGGAUGUUUUAGACUCAUCACGCCCAC